rnacentral:rRNA from 1 species
AGAAUCAACGCUGGCGGCGUGCCUAAUACAUGCAAGUCGAACGCGAAAGUGGAGCAAUCCAUGAGUAGAGUGGCAAACGGGUGAGUAACACGUGGGUGACCUGCCUUCGAGUGGGGGAUAACGUCUCGAAAGGGACGCUAAUACCGCAUGACAUCCUGCCUUUUAACAGGUGGAGAUCAAAGCCGGGGAUCGCAAGACCUGGCGCUUGGAGAGGGGCCCGCGUCCGAUUAGCUAGUUGGUGGGGUAAUGGCUCACCAAGGCAACGAUCGGUA